rnacentral:rRNA from 1 species
GACGAACGCUGGCGGCGCGCCUAACACAUGCAAGUCGAGCGGAGAUACUUGAAGGAAGUUUUCGGAUGGAAUUUGAGUAUUUUAGCGGCGGACGGGUGAGUAACGCGUGAGUGACCUGCCUUCCACAGGGGGAUAACGUACCGAACGGUACACUAAUACCGCAUGAGACCAUAGCACUGCCUGGUGCAGGGGUCAAAGGAGCAAUCCGGUGGAAGAUGGACUCGCGUCCGAUUAGAUAGUUGGUGGGGUAACGGCCUACCAAGUCAGCGAUCGGUAGCCGACCUGAGAGGGUGAUCGGCCACAUUGGAACUGAGAGACGGUCCAAACUCCUACGGGAGGCAGCAGUGGGGAAUAUUGGGCAAUGGGGGAAACCCUGACCCAGCGACGCCGCGUGAGGGAAGAAGGUUUUCGGAUUGUAAACCUCUGUUCUUGGUGAAGAGGGAAAGACGGUAGCCAAGGAGGAAGCCCCGGCUAACUACGUGCCAGCCGCCGCGGUAAAAC